rnacentral:sRNA from 1 species
GGGAUUGCAGUGGAAAGCCCGGAGCGAGGCAACGAGUGAGGACUUGCAACGGAAAGCCUGACCCGAG